UUUUUAUUUGAAAUUUUUUUUUUUUUUAUAAAUUUAAAAUUUGAGGGAGGAUAUAUUUUAAUUAUGUAUUAAAUAUCGCACUCCCAGGGCAUCUUAUAUUAUUUUUAUAAUUAUUUUAUAAUUUUUAUAAUAAAUAAAGGUGCACCUAGAGCGUACACGCUGGGACCCGAAAGAUGGUGAACUAUGCCUGGUCAGGACGAAGUCAGGGGAAACCCUGAUGGAGGUCCGUAGCGAUUCUGACGUGCAAAUCGAUCGUCGGAACU
rnacentral:rRNA from 1 species